CCCCCAACACACACUCUCUUGCGCACUCUCACACAGACACACUCACACACACACAAACACACACACACACUCUCUGGAUCAGUGCUCCGGCACUCUCUUUAUAGCAUGGCUCUUCAAAUGAAAAAAAGAAAAAAAAAAGGGGGGGGGGCAGGCCAAGGGGAGUGUCCUGUUACACGGCUCUCAAUUGAGGUUAGAGAGAGGACAUCCAUUGAGAAAAAAAAAGAGAGGAGGGAAGACGAAGGAAGGAGAAGGGAGGGGGGGAUUGUGUGUGUGUGUAUAUUGUCAGGAAACCCCCGGCAAAAGAGUUGGGAUGCCUGUGGAAAUGGACCUGAAGGGUGGAGGGCUACAUAAGAGGCUGGGGUCUUCAGCCACUACAACAACCUUUAGUAGAAAGGCCAAAUGAUCCAUUUUGAGCGGCACCGAAUGAUACACCUACGCUGAUGCUCAGCUCCUGAAUUUUGUCACGUGGAUUAAUGAGAUACCACAAAUGCAUGGAUGCGGAGGACCACAAUGUUUUCCACAGGACCGUGCUGAGCAGCUGGUCUCCAAGCCACUCUUCUUACUUGAUACGAGAUAAAAGUAGUGACAUCAUUAAAAGAAUAGGAAGUAGCCAACGACACGGGCGGAGGUCCCUGCCAUGUGUUGACCUGAGGACAACCCUGGUCCUCGCCUCUGGUGUGUGUCCCCCACCCCCAUCCUCUGCCAGCCUUUGCCUACUUCCUGCCAUUCUAACCCCACACACGCCAUCGUUGCCAACCACACCUAUCGAACAGUGCAGACCCUCACCACACCCUUACCCGCCCUUCUCCACCCACUCGCUGGCUCUUGGGGGUUGAGGGCGGAGGGUGGGCGUUUCAAACCUCCAGGAAUGACAUAGCUGGUCGCUUACUCACAGGACGCCGUGUGACUCAUCAAAGGCUGCGCUGCUGCACCCAUGUUACACACACAUUGCCACACACACACACACAUGGCCUUUGUCGGUUUCAUUCAUAACUCUUAAAUACACUCCCUGACUCACUUCCCAGGACAUGCGACCCAAAUAGCCAGAAUUAUUUUCCCGCCUUAAGAACAAGUCCUGAGCUAUGAGUUCCAUCGGAAUGUUUACACCUCUUCCGAAUGACAGAGUCAUUCAAGUCAGAUGACACUUGUUUCCCACCCUGGCUACAUUGAGGUCAUGUGGCUGUGGAGGUCCCGACCCAAUGUGUAGCACCAUUGAUUUUUAAUCACAAUUGUCACACACAGCAACUCUGUGAUGUAAUGUUCUCAGCCCAUUCUCACAAGAACGUAUCGGUCACCACUAUCUCACAAUAACACUCGCCUCACUAACACUCAGUCUUUUGAGUGCACGGGCGAAUGUCAUCUUCAGCUAUGCGAUGACUACACUACACAGAACAGAAGAAAUUUGGUGCAAUUUAGUCUCGGGUUGGGGUAAACCUUGUUUUGGCUUGGUCUGAAGACAGUCAUGGGUUGGUCUAGAGGAGUAUUUUCAUUCCCAGCUCAACCCCUCGUGUGAAUUGAGGUCUAACUAUAUGCAUGGGUGGAGUUUUCUGAAUGAGAUUUUUUUUGGGGGGGGGGGGGGGGGGCAGGUCACAUUUAUUGUACCAUGAGUGUCUAGAAUGUAGUCUAGGUUUGAUUGUUUUCAGUUUUUAUCUUGGUCUAGAUGCCAUCGUUGCUAUCGCACUGGAGGUGUGAAAUAAAGUUUUUGGGGGUAUAAACAUCCAUUUAGUACUUUUGAAAGAUGGUAUGAAUUCAUUUAAAUGUUGUAUGAAUUUUUCUCUUUUAAAUUAAAAUA